rnacentral:tRNA from 1 species
GGCACGGUGGUGCAGUGGGCAGCACUGUCGCCUCACAGCGAGAAGGUUGUGCGUUCGAAUCUCAGCUUGGGGCC